AACCAUAACCGCGACUUCUUCCAGCUCGACACACACCCACCUCUUCCCUCCCUUCAAACCUCACCCUCACCCUCACCCUCACCCUCGCCGUCGUCGGAGCUUCACGAGGUGGAGAUUAGUGACGGCGGCGCUGGGUUAGGGCAGCAAGAAGCAGCAGCGACGAAGGCAAUCGGAGGUGGUGGCGUGUAGAGCUUCAGAUCGGAGAGGGAGAUGGCGAUGGCACAGACAAGGUCUGGAGAAGAGGAGGUGACGGCGGCGCGAGGCUCUCGAUCUGCCCUUUGCUCUUGUUUUGCUUCUUCUUCUUCUUUCUUUGUCAGUCUCUCUUUGGUGUUCGUGUGGUCGUCGUAUGAAAAGGGAAGUAAAUGGUUGCUGGGUUGUUAAGGUUGCAGCAGGUGGGGGUGGGUUUCAGGGUGGUGGUGGUGACUGGCGGGUCUGGUUGGGUUUGGGUGGUGGUUUCUCGGUGGCUGGGUAUGGGUGGGGUUGGUGGGUUGUUGAGCUUGCUGGAGGUGGGGGUGGAUUUCUGGGUGAUGGUGGCUGGGUUCGUAGGUGAAGAUGAAAAGGGACGUGGUGGCUGGUUAGGGGAAUUGAUUUUGUUUAGAAUUCAUUUGGGG
rnacentral:lncRNA from 1 species